rnacentral:lncRNA from 1 species
AAAACAUAACAUGAGUGGACCAAGUUUGAUAUAAAUAAUACUAAAGUCAAAUACUCUUCAAACGUACUAACCCCUAGAUUUUAGAAAACUCAUAUAGUAUAAUAGGUAGUAGGUUUUCCGAAAACCCUAGCAUGCCAUAAAACCUUCGUAAAACAUAUAUCAUAUAUAGUGUGCUUAGCAGUGAUAUCAUAAUCGCCCGAGGCACUACAUCACC